rnacentral:rRNA from 1 species
AUUGAACGCUGGCGGCAUGCCUUACACAUGCAAGUCGAACGGUAACAGGUCUUCGGAUGCUGACGGGUGGCGAACGGGUGAGUAAUACAUCGGAACGUGCCCGAUCGUGGGGGAUAACGGAGCGAAAGCUUUGCUAAUACCGCAUACGAUCUACGGAUGAAAGCAGGGGACCGCAAGGCCUUGCGCGGACGGAGCGGCCGAUGGCAGAUUAGGUAGUUGGUGGGAUAAAAGCUUACCAAGCCGACGAUCUGUAGCUGGUCUGAGAGGACGACCAGCCACACUGGGACUGAGACACGGCCCAGACUCUUACGGGAGGCAGCAGUGGGGAAUUUUGGACAAUGGGCGAAAGCCUGAUCCAGCCAUGCCGCGUGCAGGAUGAAGGCCUUCGGGUUGUAAACUGCUUUUGUACGGAACGAAAAGCCUCUUUCUAAUAAAGAGAGGUCAUGACGGUACCGUAAGAAUAAGCACCGGCUAACUACGUGCCAGCCGCCGCAGUAACAC